CAGCUCAGUCAGUAAAGCAUGAGACUCUUAAUCUCGGGGUUGUUGGUUCGAGCCCCACAUUGG
rnacentral:tRNA from 1 species